rnacentral:rRNA from 1 species
CCUACGGGUGGCAGCAGUGGGGAAUAUUGGACAAUGGGCGAAAGCCUGAUCCAGCCAUGCCGCGUGUGUGAAGAAGGCCUUCGGGUUGUAAAGCACUUUCAGUGGGGAAGAAAGCCUUGGGGCUAAUACCCUCGAGGAAGGACAUCACCCACAGAAGAAGCACCGGCUAACUCCGUGCCAGCAGCCGUGGUAAUACGGAGGGUGCGAGCGUUAAUCGGAAUUACUGGGCGUAAAGCGCGCGUAGGCGGUCUGAUAAGCCGGUUGUGAAAGCCCCGGGCUCAACCUGGGAACGGCAUCCGGAACUGUCAGGCUAGAGUGCAGGAGAGGAAGGUAGAAUUCCCGGUGUAGCGGUGAAAUGCGUAGAGAUCGGGGGGAAUACCAGUGGCGAAGGCGGCCUUCUGGACUGACACUGACGCUGAGGUGCGAAAGCGUGGGUAGCAAACAGGAUUAGAUACCCGGGUAGUC